rnacentral:lncRNA from 1 species
CAGACUGCUUUUCUACGACUGGAAUUUAGAGCAAAACACCCAGGUCACACCCUUCACUCAGAGUAAACUUAAUUUAGUCUGGAGUGGACAAUUUGUGGAAUGAUAACUUGCUUAUUUUCCAUGUUUAUAAACCAUUGUGGUCUUAUUGAACAGGAUAGUUAAUGUCUGUCACCAAUGUAAUUUCAUUAAUUGCUCAAUUUAACUCUCAUGGAAAUACACGUGCACAUGCAUAGUCAACAGCUAAAUUCCGUGGCAUGUUACUGUUAGUUUUGAAUUGUUUCCCAAUCCACAGUGAAGACUAAAUGCUGUCCCUGUAGCAAAACUGAACGAUAUGAAAGAGAUUAGAAACUCCUAUUCCAGUGAUUUGUAAUUAUACUACCUACCUGGUAACCUUGCCUUCAUUUUUCCACUCAGGCUUGAAAAAAAAUAUAUUGAAGGCUAGACAUAUUUUUAAUUACUGUGUCAUUGCCAUUCUUAUUUUUGUCUUUUAUCUUCCAACACAUCUAUUCAUUCAUUCAUUCAACAAUUACUGAGCAGCACCUGAAAAAAACAGGCAGGAUAUGAAGCAAGGGAAAUAAAACCACAGAUGAGAUAAAGAGGAAUACUCAGGAGUCCACGUUACAAUUGGUGGAGAAACAUGAUUUAAAAUGUAAGCACAUGAAUAAAAUAAUUACAGAUUAUAAAAUAUUUAAUAAAGGGAAGAAGCAGAGAAUGAGUGAAGCAGAAGCAUGGUAGUGAUUUCAAACAGAGCUGGCAGAGAAAGCUGAGAUGCACAGCUGAGGCUUGGAGAAUGAGAACCAGGCAGCGCUCUGAGAUCCUGUAGAAGAGCAGUCCACCCUGAAAAUUAAUUAGGAAAAGGGGCUAAGAAUCUGGGGAUCGUAAAGGUAGGAUUUAAAAUGUCAAAAGGGAAGACUCUGGGAGCUGAGAGGCAGUGGGAUAUUUGGUCGUAAUAGAAAAUACGCAGAGCAGUAUUUUGCUGGCCGUCCAUGAGAAGAAGGCUGACCUGAUAGACCUGGGCUUUUGGAAGAAGCUGAGGUACCCACGGCAUAUGAGGCAUGGUGAGGUUACAUAAUUCUUCCAAAGAAAGCUGGGCAGUUAUUAAAAAGUUAUAUCCUUGUAUCAACCUGAUGAAGUCAGGCUUCUCAUCAACUUCCCUCCUUAGCUUGAGAUGAGGGGCCAUUUAGGGCUGAGGUAUUAGGAUUAUCUUUGCAGGUGCAAAGAUAAGGGGGGGGGCGGCCGCCCCUGGAGAAUUUUUUUCAAGCAGAUUUGAUGAGAUAAAGAUGGGGGACAUGAAAGGCUGCCGAGGAGUUUCCCUUGUGGCUCAGUGGUGACGAACCCGACUAGUAUCCGUGAGGACAGAGGUUCGAUCCCUGACCUCGCUCAGUGGGUUAAGGAUCUGGCAUUGCCCUGAGCUGAUGUGUAGGUUGCAGAUGUGGCUUGGAUCAUGCAUUGCUAUGGCUGUGGCGUAGGCCAGCAGCUGCAGCUCCAAUUUGACCCUUAGCCUGGGAACUUUCAUAUGCUGCACAUAUAACCCUGAAAAGCGAAAAGAAAAAGGCCAGCAAGCACUGACUCUUCUAUAACUCUUUCUGAGAUGGUUUUCUGGGGUAAAGGCAAUGAGGAUGUGAGUCACUUUCCUUCAAGUGGAGUUAUAUUGAGGUUGAUUGGUUCAUUACCACACCCUAGUUUGAGGGUAAAAAUUCUCAUUUCCUUCAAUGAGCUUAUAUAACAAGAGUAAUGGAAUAGAUAUCACAUAGAAUAAACUGUUUUUAAAUCUCUAGGCUCUGAUUUUUAACCAUAUAAAUGUAGCUGUUUCUCUUUUUGCUUUUUCUCAGCUGGCAACCUAUAGACCAUUGUCCCAAAUUAAUGCCUUUUCAGACAUUACGGAUAAAGGAAUGAAUAUCAGCUCUUUGUUUAUAUGUUGUCUGACUCUAGUGGUGGAAGGUCACUAUAAUCUUGCCAUGUUUUUAUUAUUGUUUAUGAUUCUACACAGAAUAAUUACCUUAAUAAGCCUCGCUUGGUUCAUUUUAAAGAUCAAUCGUGUAUGCUGAUGAGAAACUUGUAAUUAAGAAAGGCUGGGUAUCUUCCAACAUAAUUGAAAUGAAGUCAACAAUUCCGUAAUAUUACAGUACUAUUUUCAUCAAAUUAUGAUCUAUUUUAAUUGCAUUUUUUUCUUUUCUAAAAUGAAAGGCUAAGUUAUCUAAAAUUCCCAUACAUAUGUGUGAAAAAUCAGUUGUUAAUUAACAUUGAUUUUGAAGUUGUCAGUGAAAACCAUUUUAUCCUUUUAAACUCUCCUUUAGACAUCAGUGUCUGGGGUUAUGCAGUGUUUUCCUGUCGCUUUGCUUUUAUGUUUAAACUUCACAUCUUUAUGCAGGGGCGCAGUACCAUUCACUAUACCCAAUGGAAUAAGUUAGAAGGGACGUAUGCAUUCUACUAGGCUUUUUUAUGAUUGUCUUUAUCCUACAUUGACCAGUAGGGUCCUGAUUUGCACGUUUCUACCUUUGUUAGCAAUUUCAUUCUACCCUCAACCUUAUCCUGGCCUCUUUCACUUCUGAGAAUGAUGACAAUAAUAAUUUGUUUUUCUUUUACCUUUUAGGAUGUUGAGAGUUGGGCUGUAUCUCCUCCCUGACAAAAAUAGGAUACAGUAGCAUGCAUGCAAAAUUAUCUUCAUAUAGAAAUACGUAGAUCUCUCUUCAGGGAUUUUUAUUCUCUUUCGGAACUUGUAUAUAGUGAAAAUUUAAGAAGGCACAAAGCGUAUUGAUUUUUGUACAUGAUUACAUUACCUACCUAAUCAGCCUUAUUGUAAGUCCCCAUGUUGCCUUGUGUCUUCCUGUGUGUUAGUCUCCACAUCAGGUCAGUUUUAUACUCAUGCGUGACUUAUUUUCGAAAUCUCUCCUAAAUGGGUUUCUCUUCUUUAUUCCCACUGUCACUGACCAAUGUCCAGUCCAAAUUGAUCAUCACAUUUUCAGGACCCUAAAAUAACCUUACACGUAGUUUUCUUGCUUUCCCUACAUCUUUUUUUUCCCCCAGAAAUAAACUAUUAAAAUAGUGAUUGCAUCAUUGAUGAUAUUCCUCAGCAAACGAAAAGAUGAUUAGAUAAGCGGCCCUCCAGCUCAAUACCUCCUCAUGGCAACAUUUCUUUCUAACUGCAUCUCUCAAAAUUCCACAUCCUACGUCCAGGCACACCAAAGGGUAAGCUCUUUUCUAAUAAAUGCAUCAGUUAAUAAAUAAUUUUCAAACUGCAGUGACUGCAUUUGAAUUUCUCAUGUCUUGCAAUGCCCUUUCCUGAGCUCCUAUCCUAGGUGGUUCUGCUUCGUUCAUAUAAACCGUCAUCGCUAUCUGCCUUUUCCAUGGCCUUGUCACCUUCUGCCUCCCCAUAAUACUAACAGAUCAAGUCAUUGCUCAAAUUCAGCAUCGUCAGAAAAGCCUUUCACAAUUCCCGUGUGUUUAUAUUUCGUCUCUUCUCGUACCCUGCUUUAUUUGUUCUUACAGCACUGAUCACUAUGUCAUGUUCUCCUUCCCUUAUAUAUUUACGUAUCUGUUUUUUAAUUGCCUUCACCCUGAGAAAGUAAACCUUAAGCAUAGACUUUAUUUGUAUCAUUGCUUUAUUCCCAAAGAAUAGAUUAAUGCUUGUCAUGUACUGUGCCCUCAAAAGUGUUUCUUUUUCAUAAAAUGAUGAAUGGCAGUACAGUGUGUAAGUUUUGACUAACAGAACAUACAAUAUUAUGGUAAGUACCCAUGUGUAGCUACAGUUUAGAUAGAUUAUUGGGAAACUAGUGUGUUAAUUUUCAUUGUCAUCUGUUAUUUUUUAUGAAUACUGGUAGGGGAAAAAUUAACCACCAUAGUGUUUUGUUCUAUUUGUAAAUAUCAAAUUUUAUGUUAAUUUUAACAUCAUAAUUAUAUUCUGAAAUAGUGUAUCGUGUUCUUUAACUGAUGAAUUAUUUUUUAAUUUUGUUUUUGGUGGUCACAUCGAUCAUUUCUCUAAUAGUCUAUGAAAUAAUUAAAAGCAAAUGAUUUUCAAUAAAAUUGAAAAUUUUCUAUUUUGAAAGAAAAAAUAAUAAAUACUCUCUUAAAUGUUAAUGAGCCGUAAGAAGCUGAAUGAAAAACACCUCCGUAAUGCUAUUAGGGAAUCUGUAGUCACUAUAAUAGGUUUGAUUGUAAUUUAUUUCUGAGUAUUAUUGGAGAAGAAAAAUCUUACACAUACAUGUUAUUAUAAAACUAGUGAAUAGUCAUAUAUAAAUAUCUUUUUUUUCCUUUUUUUUUUUUUUUUUUUUUUUAGGGCCACUCCCGUAGCAUGUGGAGGUUUCCAGGCUAUAGGUCAAUCAGAGCUGCAGCUGCCAGCCCACACCACAGCCACAGCAACA